AUUGAACGCUGGCGGCAGGCCUAACACAUGCAAGUCGAGCGGAUGAAGGGAGCUUGCUCCUGGAUUCAGCGGCGGACGGGUGAGUAAUGCCUAGGAAUCUGCCUGGUAGUGGGGGAUAACGUCCGGAAACGGGCGCUAAUACCGCAUACGUCCUGAGGGAGAAAGUGGGGGAUCUUCGGACCUCACGCUAUCAGAUGAGGCUAGGUCGGAUUAGCUAGUUGGUGGGGUAAAGGCCUACCAAGGCGACGAUCCGUAACUGGUCUGAGAGGAUGAUCAGUCACACUGGAACUGAGACACGGUCCAGACUCCUACGGGAGGCAGCAGUGGGGAAUAUUGGACAAUGGGCGAAAGCCUGAUCCAGCCAUGCCGCGUAUGUGAAGAAGGUCUUCGGAUUGUAAAGCACUUUAAGUUGGGAGGAAGGGCAGUAAGUUAAUACCUUGCUGUUUUGACGUUACCAACAGAAUAAGCACCGGCUAACUUCGUG
rnacentral:rRNA from 1 species